AUUGAACGCUGGCGGAAUGCUUUACACAUGCAAGUCGAACGGCAGCACGGACUUCGGUCUGGUGGCGAGUGGCGAACGGGUGAGUAAUGUAUCGGAACGUGCCCAGUCGUGGGGGAUAACGUAGUGAAAAUUACGCUAGUACCGCAUACGAUCUACGGAUGAAAGCGGGGGAUCGCAAGCCCUUGCGCGAUUGGAGCGGCCGAUAUCAGAUUAGGUAGUUGGUGGGGUAAAGGCCCACCAAGCCAACGAUCUGUAGCUGGUCUGAGAGGACGACCAGCCACACUGGAACUGAGACACGGUCCAGACUCCUACGGGAGGCAGCAGUGGGGAAUUUUGGACAAUGGGCGAAAGCCUGAUCCAGCCAUUCCGCGUGCAGGAUGAAGGCCCUCGGGUUGUAAACUGCUUUUGUACAGAACGAAAAGGUUUCUACUAAUACUAGGAGCUCAUGACGGUACUGUAAGAAUAAGCACCGGCUAACUACGUGCCAGCCGCCGCGGUAA
rnacentral:rRNA from 1 species